UACGGAGGGUGCAAGCGUUAUCCGGAUUCACUGGGUUUAAAGGGUGCGUAGGUGGGUCUGUAAGUCAGUGGUGAAAUCUCCGAGCUUAACUCGGAAACUGCCGUUGAUACUAUAGGUCUUGAAUCAUCUGGAGGUAAGCGGAAUAUGUCAUGUAGCGGUGAAAUGCUUAGAUAUGACAUAGAACACCAAUUGCGAAGGCAGCUUACUACGGAUGCAUUGACACUGAGGCACGAAAGCGUGGGGAUCAAACAGGAUUAGAAACCCCUGUAGUCC
rnacentral:rRNA from 1 species